AUUGAACGCUGGCGGAAUGCUUUACACAUGCAAGUCGAACGAUGAAGCCUAGCUUGCUAGGUCGAUUAGUGGCGAACGGGUGAGUAAUAUAUCGGAACGUAUCCAAUAAUGGGGGAUAACUAGUCGAAAGAUUGGCUAAUACCGCAUACGGCCUACGGGAGAAAGCUAGGGAUCUUCGGACCUGGCGUUAAUGGAGCGGCCGAUAUCUGAUUAGCUAGUUGGUGAGGUAAAGGCUCACCAAGGCGACGAUCAGUAGCUGGUCUGAGUGGACGACCAGCCACACUGGAACUGAGACACGGUCCAGACUCCUACGGGAGGCAGCAGUGGGAAAUUUUGGACAAUGGGCGCAAGCCUGAUCCAGCCAUUCCGCGUAAGUGAAGAAGGCCUUCGGGUUGUAAAGCUCUUUCGCAAGGGAAGAAAACUUAGCCUCUAACAUAGGUUGAGGUUGACGGUACCUUGAUAAGAAGCACCGGCUAACUACGUGCCAGCAGCCGCAGUAAGAC
rnacentral:rRNA from 1 species